rnacentral:lncRNA from 1 species
GACUUGCAGAUUAGGAAGGCACAGGAUAAAGAGAUCCUGUCAGGGAUAUUAAGGGAGCUCUCCUGCAAAGAUACCAUACAUAAGGUCUGGUCACAGCUUCUCCUUACCAUGAAGCAGCCAGCUCUGGAGAUGUGUUUCCAGCUGAUUGACACUAUCUCAGAGAGGGUGAGGAUAGAGACAAGCUAGAAUGUCUCACCCAAGUGUGUGACCCCUGUGUGCCCUCACUCACAGCUACCCCAUUAACCCUUCUGCCUGGGAUUUAAUUCCAGGAGUGAUUUGUAAUUGUGGAGUGAUUUGUUCUCAAAUAGAGACAUGACUGAUAUAUACAUAGCAGAAUAAACUUGCCCACUAUCAUCACUUUUUCACUCCCCUUAUAUUCAGUUUUCUCUCGUUCCUUCUGUGUUUUGUGCUUAACAUGCCAUCUUUUAUUUUUAAUAUUUGAACAUCUCUGGCAGGUGCUGGAUCUGUUCUUCCUCUCUGGCAGUUGAAGCGUAAGACUUGUUUUGCUUUGGAGGAAAGUGGGAAAAGAAAAUGAAUAAGGUACCACAGGCAGUCACUGAGGAGGAGGGACUGGAGACAGGAAAUUGCCUCCUUUAUCUGUGCCUGAAGCUGGUCCUGAUUCAAGGUGUGAAGGCAGAAGAUGUCAACAUGUGACAG